AACGAACGCUGGCGGCAUGCCUAACACAUGCAAGUCGAACGAGACCUUCGGGUCUAGUGGCGCACGGGUGCGUAACGCGUGGGAACCUGCCCUUAGGUUCGGAAUAACUCCCCGAAAGGGGUGCUAAUACCGGAUAAUGUCUUCGGACCAAAGAUUUAUCGCCUUUGGAUGGGCCCGCGUUGGAUUAGCUAGUUGGUAGGGUAAAAGCCUACCAAGGCGACGAUCCAUAGCUGGUCUGAGAGGAUGCGCAGCCACACUGGGACUGAGACACGGCCCAGACUCCUACGGGAGGCAGCAGUGGGGAAUAUUGGACAGUGGGAGAAAGCCUGAUCCAGCAAUGCCGCGUGAGUGAUGAAGGCAUUAGGGUUGUAAAGCUCUUUUACCCGGGAUGAUAAUGACAGUACCGGGAGAAUAAGCACCGGCUAACUCCGUG
rnacentral:rRNA from 1 species